UUCGUCCUCGCGGGAGGCGUCGCCGUGCCGGUGACCGACCGACCGACCGGCGGUCGUUCCACCAGAGGGUUUCCGCUCCAGAGUCCUCUUCUCCGGCCAAGAUCGUCAGACGACGGAGCGGAGAGGCGGCGCGGCUCCGCCGCAACGGGGAUGACCGACGCAGCUUCCAUCCAUCCGGCCGCCGACGAACCAGUCAGGUUUGGAUGAUUUUUCGGUAUUGGAUCGCUACAUCUCAAUCCCAAGAAUAACAUCCUUGCAACAUCUUCUUGUCGAUAGCACAUCCCGAAAUCACUGAGCAUGCAUGCAUUUCCCGGCCUGAAGACGAUGUUGCUUGGUUUAAGGUCACCGUGAACAAUUGGCUUGGGCUUUCUUCUGUGGAGGAACAUGAGACCAGAGCAUAUACUGGCGGCGGAUUUCACUCUGCUUUCCCAUCUGAAAUAUUUGAGGCGACUUUCCAGUGUACCAUUUUCUCCAAACCGGUAAACAAUUGCCCUUUUCUCUAUGCAUCCUCCUAAGAAGGGAAUCAGAUUCGGAUGACUGAUAUUUUUGAGGAUUUCAACCUGCAUUUACAGAGUUACCGUUAGAAAUGGAAUAAUAUACAGUGGUUCUACCUUGCAUAGAGAUAGACAGCUUGUGUACACUGGAUGGGUUGAUAGAGAAUUUCAAACGCCCUGAAAAAUCAACAGGUGUAUUAUUGUUGCCAAUUUGCCAUUGGCAUAGUAUACUUUAGUGUUCUUUGGGGGUUGUGUGUAAGAUGAACUUAAGGUAGAACACAGUGCAGAGUAAGCUAUAUGUUUAACGAAACUUACCGCUUGAUCAAAUUCUUGCAUGCUUGGUUUUGUUCCAUUGGGAACAGUUGUAGCAAUAUCCAUGCCAUCAAAAUUUGACCAAUACACAUUAUAUGUAGCUGUUCCACGGAGCCACUUAGCUCGGUUGCUGACUGCAUAAUCUAUCUGCGAAGGUUUGAACAUAAUGAACUUAUUCCUGCCACUUGAGCGUGAAGCUUUGUCCUUGCUCAUCUGUUCAAGGUAUUGCUGCAAGGGCCAUGUUGGAAUGAGGAACAUUGGUGAACAUCAUUUUUUUUUUCUUUUUGGAGUAUUUCUGGCUGAUGCAGGAAUAAGAUGUUUGAGUAGCAUACUUGUGUGGCAACGACUACACCCACGACGACGACGGUAACAACAGCCAAGGUAACCAUGACAGCACCGAGAAGGAUGAAGGCAGCGAUAACGAUGAUGGCGCUAACAACGGCGACAACAAUGGCGACGGCUACAUCCAUGGCCUUUUCCUCUACUUGCCGCUGCAGGUUUUCCGUGGCCUGCUCCACCAACCAUGGCUGGUAAACAGUGAAACCACUUGAUCUCUGGAGGUUUCAGAUGAAGUGACUGGAUAGCAGGUGGAUGAAUCAACCUGUAACUUAUUGUGAGCAAGCAAGUUCUUCUCCUGAAUGCUCGUGGUUAUAUAGCCCACUGAAGGCAGCUUGUCCAUGAUAAACAACAGGCGCUGCCAUGGCAGCUUGACUAACGUGAGGAGCCGCCUGACAAAGUGAAGAAGACAGAUUCAUCGGCCAAAGCAGAGCAGCAGAGUCAAGAGGCCAACUCGGUGGAUGGGCGAUGGAGCAGCAGCGCCCGUGACAACUACGAUGAUGGCACGACUUCGCCACGCCGAGUGAACAAAUGCGGCAGCGCAGUGACGGAUCCUGAGAAAGUAUAGCAUCAAAAUUUUUAGUAUAAAAUUUUGGUUUUCGAGGCAUCUUUGACAUUUAAGAGGUGUGGUACCUCAACCUACCAUUUUAAGAUAUGUACUACUUUUAGAGUUUUUUCUUAUCAUGCUUAAAAUGGUACAG